rnacentral:lncRNA from 1 species
CCACCAUGCCCGGCUAAUUUUUGUAUUUUUGGUGGAGACAGGGUUUCACCAUGUUGGCCAGGCUGGUCUCGAACUCCUGACCUCAGGUGAUCUGCCAGCCUCAGCCUCCCAAAGUGCUGGGAUUACAGGUGUGAGCCACCGUGCCCGGUGGUUUAGGAAUUUUUUUUUUUAAUGAAGGUGGGGGAAUGGCCACUGUGAAAGAAAAAUAAAUCUCAACUCCAAAAUCACUAAGCUAAGGGAAAAGUCAAGCUGGGAACCUGCCUCCCAUUUUAAUUCCUGAAUAAGAUGGCUAUAAAGAUAAAACAGCUACAUGCCUCCCUCACAAUUUGCCCACAAGGAAAUUCCUUGUGGGCCUCAAGAUCUUUACCCUACUCAGGAUCAUGCCAAGAAUUAAAAAAAAAAACAAAAAACAAAACUUUACCCUGAAACAUUUCUGUUGAAUUCAUCCUGGCAAUGUAAACUGAUAGCUGAUCUUAACAGGUGCAGGACAGAAAAUCAUUCCUCUGCUCACCUGAGAGAAAUGCUUAUCUGAUUGCUUCCUCAGACCUACUGUGUAUGUAAAAAUGAAGAUUCACUGAGCCAGACUAGAUUGUGAAUUCACUGAAAGGCUGAUCAAGGACUCAAAAGAAUGCAAGCUUUUGUCUCUUAUCUACCUAUGACCUGGAAGCCCCCCUCUUCGAGUUGUCCUGUGUUACUGGAUGGAACCAAAGUAUAUCUUACAUAUAUUAAUUGAUGUCUCAGGUCUCCCUAAAAUGCACAAAAGCAAGCUGUACCCCAGCCACCUUGGGGACGUGUCGUCAGGACCUGUUGGCAAAAUAAACUUUUAAAUUGCUUGA